rnacentral:rRNA from 1 species
ACGAACGCUGGCGGCGUGCCUUAAGCAUGCAAGUAGAACGAACCUCUUCGGAGGAAAGUUGCGAACGGCUGAGUAUAAAAUAGGAAUCUACCCCUUAGUGUGGAAUACCCCAUCGAAAGAUGGGCUAAUACCGCAUAAUACCUACGGGUGAAAGCGCGUAACUGCGCGCUGAGGGAGGAGCCUAUUUCCCAUCAGGCAGUUGGUAGGGUAAUGGCCUACCAAACCUACGACGGGUAGGGGAUGUGAGAGCAUGAUCCCCCAGAACAGGACUGAGACACGGCCUGUACACCUACGGGUGGCAGCAACUGGGAAUCGUACACAAUGGACGAAAGUCUGAUGUCGCGACGCCGCGUGAGGGAUGAAGGCGUAUUCGUUGUAAACCUCUUUUGCCAUCGUCGAGAGACGAUGGAGAAUAAGCACCUGCUAAUCUCGU